UUUGUAUAAUUUGCUAAAGUAUAAUAAGAAAAGUUAAAAUAAGUAAGAAAAAUAAUUUAAAUGAAUUUAUGUUAGUAAAAUUUAAAUAAAUCUAAUAAAGGCUAAAGUGAAAAGUACUGUGAAGGAAAAAGUAAACGAAAAAGGUUAGUAGAAUUAAAUUUUUGUACCUUUUGUAUAAGGGAUAAUUAAAAUAAUUUAAUUAAUUAUAGAAAUCUCGAAAUAAAGACAGUUAAUUUUAUAAGUGAGUUUUUGUAGAAACAAGAUUUAGAAUAUAAAAUUAAAGAUGAAACGUCAGUCGAGCUUUAUAAUAUCUAGUUCCUUAAAUUUCAAAUUAAAUUUGGAUUCUAUAAGAUAAGUUAUUUAUAGAAAAUUAUAGUAGGAGGGAUUAGCUUCUUAUUAAAAGUAAAAAAAAAGUUUAAGGCAAAAUGUAAGUUAAAAACUAAGCUUAAAAGUAGUUAUGUUAAUAAAGUGUUUUAACUAAUUAAAUGGGGAAUAAUAUUUAGCUUAAACUUUUAAGAAAAAUUAAGGAAUCAGUUUAAUUUAAAGAAACUGAGAUAAAAUAAUUUUAUGAGUAGAUAAACGAAUAUAAAAAAAACAAGUGAAAUAGUAUGUUUCUUUUAAAAUAGAAAGAGAUACCAUAAAGGAACUCGGCAAAAAGCUUUUUUGCCUGUUUAUCAAAAACAUGUCUGUUUGUAGAUAUAAAAAGUCCGACCUGCCCACUGAAUAUAAAAGAUUGAAGGGCCGCAGUAUUUUAACUGUGCAAAGGUAGCAUAAUAGUUAGGUUUUUAAUUAGAAUCUUGAAUGAAUGGUUUGACAAAAAAAGCGCUGUCUCUGGGGUAAUUUUUGAAUUUAACUUUUAAGUGAAAAGGCUUAAAUAUGUUAAGAAGACGAUAAGACCCUAUAAAGCUUUAUAUGAAUAUUUUAUUAAAAAUAAAUUUAUAUAUAAAAUUUUAAUGAAAUAAUAUUAUUAUAUUGGGGCGAUAAAGGUAUAAUUAUUACUAACUGCUUAAAUAUUAAACAUGAAUAAAUGAGAAUAAAGUAAUAGAUCCUUAAAUAGAGAUUUAAAGUUUAAGUUACUUUAGGGAUAACAGCGUUAUUUUUUUUGAGAGUACUUAUCGAAAAAAAAGUUUGCGACCUCGAUGUUGAAUUAAGAUUUCUUUUUAAUUGCAGCAGUUAAAAAAGAAGGUCUGUUCGACCUUUAAAUUUCUUACAUGAUUUGAGUUCAAACCGGCGUAAGCCAGGUUGGUUUCUAUCUUUUAAUAAAUAAAAAUCUUACUUUAGUACGAAAGGAUUGAGUAAGUGGAAUUAUUUUAUAAUUGAUUA
rnacentral:rRNA from 1 species